rnacentral:rRNA from 1 species
AUUGAACGCUGGCGGCAUGCUUUACACAUGCAAGUCGAACGGUAACAGGCCGCAAGGUGCUGACGAGUGGCGAACGGGUGAGUAAUGCAUCGGAACGUGCCCAGUCGUGGGGGAUAACGCAGCGAAAGCUGUGCUAAUACCGCAUACGAUCUAUGGAUGAAAGCGGGGGACCGUAAGGCCUCGCGCGAUUGGAGCGGCCGAUGUCAGAUUAGGUAGUUGGUGGGGUAAAGGCCAACCAAGCCCACGAUCUGUAGCUGGUCUGAGAGGACGACCAGCCACACAGGGACUGAGACACGGCCCAGACUCCUACGGGAGGCAGCGGUGGGGAAUUUUGGACAAUGGGCGCAAGCCUGAUCCAGCAAUGCCGCGUGCAGGAAGAAGGCCUUCGGGUUGUAAACUGCUUUUGUACGGAACGAAAAGGUCUGGGUUAAUACCCUGGGCCGAUGACGGUACCGUAAGAAUAAGCACCGGCUAACUACGUGCCAGCCGCCGCAGUAA